GCGAGGCCGAAAGGCGUAGUCGAUGGGAAACAGGUUAAUAUUCCUGUACUUGGUGUUACUGCGAAGGGGGGACGGAGAAGGCUAUGUUAGCCGGGCGACGGUUGUCCCGGUUUAAGCAUGUAGGCUGAUUGUCCAGGCAAAUCCGGAUAAUCAAGGCUGAGGUGUGAUGACGAGGCACUACGGUGCUGAAGUAACAAAUGCCCUGCUUCCAGGAAAAGCCUCUAAGCAUCAGGUAACAUCAAAUCGUACCCCAAACCGACACAGGUGGUCAGGUAGAGAAUACCAAGGCGCUUGAGAGAACUCGGGUGAAGGAACUAGGCAAAAUGGUGCCGUAACUUCGGGAGAAGGCACGCUGGUGUGUAGGUGA
rnacentral:rRNA from 1 species